GGACGAACGCUGGCGGCGUGCCUAACACAUGCAAGUCGAACGAAGCAUAGCAAUAUGCUUAGUGGCGGACGGGUGAGUAACGCGUGAACAAUCUGCCCUGUACAAAGGAAUAGCCUCGGGAAACCGGGAUUAAAACCGUAUGACACUUUAGUAUCGCAUGAUAAGAAAGUCAAAUCGAUUAGAGGUAUGGGAUGAGUUCGCGUCUGAUUAGCUGGUUGGCGGGGUAACGGCCCACCAAGGCGAUGAUGGGUAGCCGGCCUGAGAGGGUGUACGGCCACACUGGGACUGAGAUACGGCCCAGACUCCUACGGGAGGCAGCAGCUAAGAAUAUUCCGCAAUGGACGGAAGUCUGACGGAGCGACGCCGCGUGGAUGAAGAAGGCCGAAAGGUUGUAAAGUUCUUUUGCUAGGGGAGAAUAAGUGUGGGAGGGAAUGCCUGCACGAUGACAGGGACUAGCGAAUAAGUCCCGGCCAACUACGUGCCAGUAGCCGCGGUAACACGUAGGGGGCGAGCGUUGUUCGGAAUUACUGGGCGUAAAGGGCAUGUAGGCGGCUUGGUAAGCCUGGCGUGAAAGUCUGCAGCUUAACUGUAGGGAUGCGUUGGGAACUGCUUAGCUUGAGUUACGGAGAGGGAGCUGGAAUUCCUGGUGUAGGGGUGAAAUCUGUAGAUAUCAGGAAGAACACCGAUGGCGAAGGCAAGCUUCUGGCCGACAACUGACGCUGAGGUGCGAAAGUGUGGGGAUCAAACAGGAUUAGAUACCCUGGUAGUCCACACAGUAAACGAUGUGCACGAGGUGCUGGGGCGGUAGUUUCAGUGCCGGAGCGAGCGCGGUAAGUGCACCGCCUGGGGAGUAUGCUCGCAAGGGUGAAACUCAAAGGAAUUGACGGGGGCCCGCACAAGCGGUGGAGCAUGUGGUUUAAUUCGACGCAACGCGCAGAACCUUACCAGCUCUUGACAUGUCCAGGACCGGUCGCAGAGAUGCGACUUUCCCUUCGGGGCCUGGAACACAGGUGCUGCAUGGCUGUCGUCAGCUCGUGUCGUGAGAUGUUGGGUUAAGUCCCGCAACGAGCGCAACCCCCGUCCUUAGUUGCUACCAUUUAGUUGAGCACUCUAAGGAGACUGCCGGUGAUAAGCCGCGAGGAAGGUGGGGAUGACGUCAAGUCCUCAUGGCCCUUACGGGCUGGGCUACACACGUGCUACAAUGGCGGUGACAGAGGGAUGCGAAGGAGCGAUCCUUGGCAAAUCUCAAAAAGCCGUCUCAGUUCGGAUUGGAGUCUGCAACUCGACUCCAUGAAGUUGGAAUCGCUAGUAAUCGCGGAUCAGCACGCCGCGGUGAAUACGUUCCCGGGCCU
rnacentral:rRNA from 1 species